rnacentral:tRNA from 1 species
CAGGGAAUAGUUUAAAUAGAACAUUGGCUUUGGGCGCUGAUAGUGGGGCUGUUGCUUCUUCCUUGA